rnacentral:SRP_RNA from 1 species
GCUGGGCAUGAUGGCUCGUGCCUGUAAUCCCAGGACUUUGGGAGGCCGAGGUAGGUGGAUCACCUGAGGUCAGGAGUUCGAGACAGCCUGACCAACAUGGUGAAACCCUGUCUCUA